CAAUAUGCCUGCCGGCGACCGGCGCACGGGUGAGUAACACGUAUGUAACCUGCCCUAUGCAGGGGGAUAACCCGGAGAAAUCCGGCCUAAUACCGCGUAACACCUUUUGGGAGCGUUCCCGGGAGGUUAAAGGAGAGAUCCGGCAUAGGAUGGACAUGCGUCGCAUUAGGUAGACGGCGGGGUAACGGCCCACCGUGCCGACGAUGCGUAGGGGUUCUGAGAGGAAGGCCCCCCACACUGGUACUGAGACACGGACCAGACCCCUACGGAAGGCAGCAG
rnacentral:rRNA from 1 species